GGUGUCUAGGCUUGCGAGUGACAAGGGGAGAGAGGAAGGGUGGCGGUGGGGAGGAGCUUGGAAGGGGGAGAAAGUGAGAUCCAGGUGCCCUACCGGUGGAUGCAGGACCCCUCACCCUCUACCGGAAGUACCAGGUGGCCCAAUUUCAUCUGAUGACCUCGUCUUUUGAGGCCAGCAUAGGGCACAAAGUUCCCGCAGGGUUCUGGGGAGACUUGAGGUCACGCUGAUCACCGAGGAGCAAUCUUAUCAUGACACCAAACCCCACCCACUCAGGCCAGUUUCCACCAGCCAUAUCAACACCUAGGUAGUUUUACAUAGAGGCUGUUUGGAUGAGUGCUUUCCCCUGCAUUCCAUCAAGUGGUACAGGACUUUCGGAUGCAGGAAAUUCUUGCUUGGAUGGUUGCGUUUUCCAGAAGAACGUUCCUCUUAAAAUGCAGUUGGGUCACAAAUUUUUAUCAUGCAGCAACAUGUUUGCAUGAGAAAGCAUCUUCUUUUUUCCUUCACACAUCCUUUCAUUUCGCUAUGCAGAAAUUGAUAUCAGCCUGCCAUUGCAAAAAUGCAGGGAUCCAAACGAGUGACCCUGCAGUUGCAAAGACUUGCGUCGGUAACACAGCAAAUUCAUAAAUGUAAGGUAGGCUCUUACUUUCCGCCAUUCUUUUUUAUUGUUGUAGAUCCAGGUAUCAGCUAAUGCAGCACGUCCAUAAAUACAACCAUCCAAACAGCUUUAUAGACUCCUUCAUUGGGCAAGAUAAACUAAUUUGGAAGUUUUCUUGCUGUGCAACGAGUUAUUUGAACUUGUAUAGUGCUCAUAUGAUUCUCUUAUGUCAAGACAGAAUCUUAUUGGGUUUAAUUGUUCCCUGUCCUUUCUCAACUUCUACUUGAUGUUAAUAGUUGUCAAAUAUGUGUUAUGUUAAACCUUCUUUAGCGGUGACCAACUUGAUAUGCAUACAUGGUACGGAUUUCAUCGUUUGUAAGUUCUUACUAUGUUAAACCUUCUAUUGUAGCUGACUGUUUGUUUUAGAACUCUUGCAUCUGCAACAUUUCUGUGGACAAAGACCUUUAUCCCUAUGCUGUGGUCACUGAUGUCUUGGAAGCUCCAGCAAAAAUGAAUCUGGACUGCUGUGUGAGACAUCAAGAUGGAGAAGAUUCAUGGUUAGGACUCCUUUAUUAGGGUGCUAAGAAAUGGCCACCUUACAGCUCUCAUAAUAGGAGUAUGGAAGAAGCACUCGGGUGUAGAGGAGUAGAACAAUCUUGAAAGUGAUAGUAGAAGUAGCUGGUGCAGGGUUAGUGAUUCCUAAGGUUUCUUAAAACCUACACUUUCUGCUUUUUCUUGUUAUGAUGAGAACAAGUAAAAGGCAGGCAAAUGGACUGCCGCAAUGGUAGUCGUAGUCGGUAUUGAAGUUAAGCAACUCUCUUUUUCGAGGACACGAGAUUUCAACACAGCUUCUUUACCUAAUCUAGGAUGCUAUGGCCUGCGUCAUUUCCGCAUUAACUGCUAAUGUCUUUAUGCAUGAUCUCAUCAUAUUCCUGAGUUUUCUGAGCAUCAUAAUGUCUCAAACAUGCUUAUUGAUGAUUCGGAUAGAAUGUCG